CCUACGGGAGGCAGCAGUGGGGAAUAUUGGGCAAUGGGCGCAAGCCUGACCCAGCAACGCCGCGUGAAGGAAGAAGGCUUUCGGGUUGUAAACUUCUUUUGUCAGGGAAGAGUAGAAGACGGUACCUGACGAAUAAGCCACGGCUAACUACGUGCCAGCAGCCGCGGUAAUACGUAGGGGGCAAGCGUUGUCCGGAUUUACUGGGUGUAAAGGGCGUGUAGCCGGGUUGAUAAGUCAGUUGUGAAAUCCUGCGGCUUAACCGCAGAAAUGCAUUUGAAACUGGUGAUCUUGAGUACUGGUGAGGUAGGCGGAAUUCCUGGUGUAGCGGUGAAAUGCGGAGAUAUCAGGAGGAACACCGGUUGCGAAGGCGGCCUGCUGGACUGCAACUGACGUUGAGGCCCGAAAGCGUGGGGAGCAAACAGGAUUAGAUACCCUAGUAGUC
rnacentral:rRNA from 1 species